UUUUCUUUCGGACACUCUUUCAAGGUGCUGCAUGGUUGUCGUCAGCUCGUGCCGUGAGGUGUCGGGUUAAGUCCCAUAACGAGCGCAACCCUUACCGUUAGUUACCAUCAGGUUAAGCUGGGGACUCUAGCGGGACUGCACCGUAAGGUGAGAGGAAGGUGGGGAUGACGUCAAAUCAGCACGGCCCUUAUGUCCAGGGCUACACACGUGUUACAAUGGCCAGUACAAAGGGCAGCUACCGGGUGACCGGAUGCUAAUCUCUAAAGCUGGUCUCAGUUCGGAUCGAAGUCUGCAACCCGACUUCGUGAAGCUGGAUUCGCUAGUAAUCGCGCAUCAGCCAUGGCCGCGGUCCGAAUACGUUCCGGGCCUU
rnacentral:rRNA from 1 species